UACGUAGGUGGCAAGCGUUGUCCGGAAUUACUGGGUGUAAAGGGUGCGUAGGCGGGUUUGCAAGUUGGAUGUGAAAUACCGGAGCUUAACUCCGGAGCUGCAUCCAAAACUGCAGAUCUUGAGUGAAGUAGAGGCAGGCGGAAUUCCGAGUGUAGCGGUGAAAUGCGUAGAUAUUCGGAGGAACACCAGUGGCGAAGGCGGCCUGCUGGGCUUUAACUGACGCUGAGGCACGAAAGCAUGGGUAGCAAAC
rnacentral:rRNA from 1 species